CUUAUCCCUAGCCCGCUCUCGUCUCCCUUCCUAGGACGCAGCCGCCCACCAAAUCAAAUCCCGUCGCCGGGCUCGUCUGCCUCGCCGUGGCCGAUGAAUGCGUCGGCUGCGGCCACGCCCCCUCUCCAAACGGCGGCGAUGAUGGAGGGAGCAGCUCACGCUGGCCAGGCUCCCGACCGAACGCGUCGGGUCAUCUCUCCUCGGGGCCAACCCCUCCUAUUCAUCGCAUCUCUCCCUGACUCCGUCUCCUCCACGAGAUGUAGCACCACCCCACGCCAUGGACGCCCUUGCCGGCUGCAUCUCUCCAUGCGCCGCCACUCCUAUGACACCGCCGCCCGGCAGUCUCCACCAGCACCACGACGGGCGUGGCCUCUGCACGUGCCGUCACCUCCCCUCCAGAUCCGGCCAUCGUCGAGGGCAUAUCCAUCCAGCAGUGCGCCGUCACCUCCCCUCCAGAUCCAGCCGUCGUCAAGGGCUUAUCCAUCCAGCAGCGUGUCGUCAUCCCAAUCAUCACCGUCCACGGCGUCAUCGCCCAGGCCCAGUCAGGGGCCGGCAAGACCUCCAUGAUCUCCCUCUUCGUCUGCCAGGUCAUUGAGACCAACGUCCACGAGUGAUUUCCGCAUAGCUUUUGUGUAUGACGGCUGGAGGACCAACUCAGACCUCGCUUGCCCCAGGGUCAGGAGGUCCAAGGCGCCACAACCAACUGCCUCUGCAUCCAUAUGCUGGCAAUUUACUUUGAUUUUCAGUGUGGUAAUCUACAGCAAUCAAGUUAACAAAUCUGAAGCAUUUUAGCAAGGCAACGGUGCAAGUGCUCUUUUGGUGGAAGAUGAAGCUUUUGUUGGGCUUGUGAUGUUUUUCUGAAGAAGACUGACGAUGAACUCAAAAGACAGAUAACAUGCGGUUGCUACUACGGGAAUACCUGAUGUUGCUUCAUAUUAGUUAUAUCUUCCAAUAUUUACAGAAACUUCCGAAACUGGCACCAGGUCAGGACAUGCUGAUGAUAACCUUCCAGUUUUGCUAAAUCAUAGUUACUUGAGUAAUCUCUACUCCUAAAGUGUUCUUCGAAGGUGCUCAUCAAAUCUGUUGAUACACAACACCGCAGUUAUUGAUGGUUUACACUGGAUAGUUUCCAGACCUUUAUCGCAAGAUGGACGAACUUGGCAUCUCAGCCAGUACUCUGCCUCAUCAACAGUUUGAUGUCCCUUUGCAUGAAGUUAGGCCAGCAUCAGAAUAUCCGUAGCCUUUUUUAGGAGAUGAAGGUGAAGAUUAUUAAGCCGGAUAACCUCACAUGUUUCCUUCUAAUGAGCAGCCGUGCGUCAUUGAACAAGAUAGAUGUUGUUGGAGAAGUUUUAGAAGAAAUGCAAGAAAAUGGUGUAGUUCUAGGGUGGUAUGCAUAUAGCAUGGUUUCUAUCUUCCUGAGUGCUGGUUUGGUUUUAAAAAACAGUCCGCUCUCAAGAAACUCGAGGGCCUUGAUUUUAGAAGGUAACAUAAAUAUCUAUAUUGAUCGUUCAUGGUCCUGGGGCUCCUUGUUACAGUUCAAGCAAGAGUUUAGUCCAUAAUACUCAAUUUCAUCCUGAAGUGCAUGCCCCCUGACCCGUGGGACGACGGCACGGAGGCAAUUGCAUAACCCAGCGGCAGGGCGUGGCGGCGUUGUGGCCAGUGAGGAGCGCCGUUAGGGCGUGCCCUGAAUCGAGAGGAACAAGUAUGUUCACUUUCUGUUCGCUUUGUGUUUGCUUUCUGUAGUCUCAAAGCAGAGCAAUGGUUCACUGCAAAUUUUAUCAGAAUGUGCAACAAAAGCACGUUGAGAAGUUCCUGUGAGCCCUAAUUAUUUCUUGAGAAAGCAAACUUAUUGAUCCUUGCUCUAUUUUUUGUGUACUAAGAUUGUUUGUUUGUACCCAGGAUGUGUACGUGAUGUGCCCUGCCGCUGUGUGUGCUUCCUGCUAAUGUGUGUGCUUCCUGACGCAGUUGAGCAUGCGCGCGUGUGUUCGCUGUCGCUGUUUAUUAACAUUGUCAUGCUCUCCUUACUUUUUGCUUAACAAUUCAUGAUCAAUACUGAACAUUAUUUUUUGAAUAGAUGCCACUUGAACUUAGUUUUAGCUCUCAUGUUGUUCAAUGAAUCAUCAAGUAAUGUUUUGCAUGGAUUUUAUAACUAACACAAUGUUUCUGAUUUAAUGAGAGCCAACCAUGCGUUCCUGGCUUCCCCGGCGAUGCCAACAUGGCAUGGCAGGACCCAGUGGCCAUCUUCGGCGCCUUCAUGGACUUCGUCAGCGCCGACCUCUGCUUCAUCAUCUACGGCCACGACCCCUUUGCCGUCGGCAUCAUCUGGCACCUUGGAGUGCAAAUUAAAUGUGUUCAUGGAGUGGGGUGUAAUUGUGAUUUGUGCAAUGGGUUUAGAGUGGAAGGGGCUGUCAUUCUUGUUUAGCAGGGGCUGCAAGUUCUAUCUCUAUAAGCCUGACUUGCAGCGGCAACAACAGAUUCAGAUGUGGUAAGCUCAUUCAUUCAUUCUCUCAGGAGAAGAGGACCAAAUUGAUUCAAAUUUUGUGUUCUGAUCCUAAUGUUGCGAGGUUUGCGAUCACAUGUAUGGUCGGGACUGCGUGGGUCCGGCGACCAAUUGCUUGCAUCUCUUGCUGUAUGGUGAUGAUGACCGGCUCUUGUUAAAUCCAAUACGACUGCACUUCUUCGCUUCAGUUUGCUUUGUAGGUAACAUGCAGUGUACAGUUGGUAGCAGAUUAUGAUGCAAGUUUGUUUGUUUUCACUCCAAGCAUGAUUUUUAUGAUACAUGACGCUACUCUGAGGCUGCUCCUCACUACCAGUCACAACAAGAUGGGCCCCCUGGAAGAAGGUAUCCCCCCUAUACGAAGAUUUCUAGCUUGCCUAUGUGUUGAUAAGUGCAUUCGGCCAAACAAUUUGUGGACCAAAUAAACUUGUUGCAGAUACAGAAGAACAAGGCUGCACACAAGGAGUUGCCUGAAUUGCAGUGGCAGCGAUGUUGCAAUAUGAAUCAAGCUUGUGAAGAAAAAUUUCGUUACUUUAAUGACACACACUUGCAGUAAGUCAUUCAGAGAUAUAUUCAGUACAUGCUAGGUUGCCAAGCUCAGAGCCACCUGUUGUCUCCAUAAAUUCGCUGAAAGCAAAAAUCAUUUUCCCAUAGUCAUGUGAAACCUUCUAGAAUUCUUUUUAGUAUUUUGCAUUGCUUGUGCAUUUCUUUUUUUAUCACUUCUAAUAACCUCAUUGAUUCAUUUUUCCUAUCGUCAUGUCAGUCCUUGCUCUAAAUUUUUUGUUAAUAUGUUGCACUUCUUGUGCAUUUCCAUUUUUAUCACUUCUAAUAAUCUCAUUGACUGUUUACAUCUCACCAUGUUUACCAAGAACACGAGUGAUAAUUUUGUUUUAUAAUAAUACAAUAGUGACAAUUUUAUUUUAUUUUAUUUUCUGACAUAGUUCUCAAUUAGGCUUACAAAUAUUUUACAUUGGCAGUAGUUCUGCCAUCAAGCUUAUGUGUAAUGUAUUCCUUAGAAUGGUGUUUCAGCCAUUUCUAUGUAGGUGGCAUGUGUGAUGGCACGUAUUUCAGCCAUAUCGACUUAGGUGGCAUGUGUGCUGGCGCAAGAAAAGGAAGGCCCUGAACUGAAAGGAGCAACAUAUAUUAAUGAAAUGCCCUGAAUUGAGAGAGAGAGAGAGAGAGUUCAAUUUAAUUUGUCUGGUUUAAAUAUUUAUGAGUAAUUUAAUUUGUUUGACCUUGAGUGUUGACUUGCUUUUCAGUUGUCAACAAUGUCCGUUUUGCUGAAUGUACUUGCUUAUCCUUCUACUGGACUACCAUUGGUUCACUGUGUACAUACACUUUCCAAUUCUGUCUGUUUACUAUCUUUUGUUAUUAUUUGUCUUGAUAACUUGAUGCUUUCUUCCUUGGUUGUUUAAUCUUAACAGUUCCACAUCCCACAUCGAACCUUCCAGACUCAUCCAAGUGACCAUUUGCAACAUCCUUUUCCGGACAAUCUGGAUUAGUUCAAGGUUUUCAUCACUCUGGUCUGCACAACAUUCAUGGAAAUUAUAGUCUUCCAAAAUAUUCCUGGAUCACUUGCAAAAAGGAAUGUUGUGAAGAGUAGCGUUCCAUCAUCUGGGGUCCAACAACCCAAAGGGAGCAUUUCUGGGAGAUUUGCUGCAAAUAGCCUUCCUGUUGUCGUUCUCUGGUUCGAAUGCCCACCUUUGUGGAGAUUCCUCAUGCACAUUUAGCUGUCAGUGGUAGAGUAAUGAAUGUUGGUGGAGGUCAAGCAUUUAGAAGUGGAAUGAAUAUGGGCGGUACCAUUCAAGGGUCAAUGCUGCAAGUGGAAGACUAAAUGUGCAAGGAUCCAACAGGAUGAUGAAUGGCCUUAUUCUGCAAGGUAUGCCUGAUGGAGCGAUUGGGUUGAUGCUGAUGCUGAUAUACUUCCCUAAGUUGCUCCAAUCGGGAAUGCAGAUAUACUUCCAUGUUCUCUCGCUGUGGAUUGGUAAAAAGACUAACUCUUAAUCAGGGCGCGCGAUUUUGAUGAAGGUUGUAAAACAUUUUCAUUAGGCAUCAAUUUUAUUGCUGGUGCUUGUCUGGCUGUAAAAUCUGCUCAAUAUGUAUAUUUUCCUUUCGUCGUUUUCUGAUAUAAUACUGAACCUUUUGGAAUAUCUCUGUAUAUAAAAAAAUGUGUUCUGUCUGCC